rnacentral:rRNA from 1 species
AGAUUAGCUAGUUGGUGGGGUAAAGGCCCACCAAGGCGACGAUCUGUAACUGGUCUGAGAGGAUGAUCAGUCACACCGGAACUGAGACACGGUCCGGACUCCUACGGGAGGCAGCAGUGGGGAAUAUUGGACAAUGGGCGCAAGCCUGAUCCAGCCAUGCCGCGUGGGUGAAGAAGGCCUUCGGGUUGUAAAGCCCUUUUGUUGGGAAAGAAAAGCAGUCGGUUAAUACCCGAUUGUUCUGACGGUACCCAAAGAAUAAGCACCGGCUAACUUCGUGCCAGCAGCCGCGGUAAUACGAAGGGGGCUAGCGUUGCUCGGAAUCACUGGGCGUAAAGGGCGCGUAGGCGGCUGACUUAGUCGAGGGUGAAAGCCCGUGGCUCAACCACGGAAAGGCCUUCGAUACUGGUUGGCUUGAGACCGGAAGAGGACAGCGGAACUGCGAGUGUAGAGGUGAAAUUCGUAGAUAUUCGGAAGAACACCAGUGGCGAAGGCGGCUGUCUGGUCCGGUUCUGACGCUGAGGCGCGAAAGCGUGGGGAGCAAACAGGAUUAGAUACCCUGGUAGUCCACGCCGUAAACGAUGAGUGCU